rnacentral:lncRNA from 1 species
UGAUCCAUCUUGUGGACGAAUCCUAACACACAUACAUACACAGUUCUCGUGAAUCAAUCUAGCUCGCUCCUGGUGAAAUUAAGCAAGACCAGCGAAGAUCCAUGGCGGUGGCGCUUCGAUGUGCGGCAAGAAGGCUCGGUGGCUCCCUGCAGCUCCAGCAAACGCAGGCGCCGCUCAUGCCAAGCAGGUUCAUGUCCUCCCGCCAGCUCUCCGGCGAG